UGAGAACACAUUGCAUCACAGACUGACCACGCAGAGGGGCCCAGACGCCGCGCGCCUCCUGGACAGUGCUGACGUCAAUUCGUAGGGGCGCGUGGCCCUGCAUACCCCCAGAUCAGCACAAUUCUCCCACACGCUUAUGGCCUGGGAUUCAUGCUUGAUCAUCUCCAAUUCCAAGUGCGUAUUUUUAAACUUUUGAAAACGACGUGUGUUCACGCAAGCACUCUCCACAAAGGUCAAAAGCAGGCGGGAGCCAUGGAGCCCUCAUUGGAGGGGCCUGCCCUCUUGGAACCUCUCCCAGUGGGAGCCUUGGAGAUGCAAGGAGCACAGCCCCGACCCAGAUUUUUCUGGCAUUUUCUGACUUUCUCCUCUCAUUCUCCCUAAUAGAGUUAAUAAUAAUAAUAGCACAGCAUUUUAAAGCACUCCAGAUUUUUAAAAGCUGUCAUGAAUAUUAUCUCCUCGAAUGGCAAUUGCUUAUUUAUGUACUUGUAUCAGAAGUAAGAUUCUGAACUCCUUAAGAGCACACACUGUGACUUUUCUGUGUCUUGCUAACCCCAGCGCCUCUCUAGCAGAUGCAGGGCUCACACUGGGGGGCUCGCUACCCAUUUCUUGAAAGCACAACUGGAUGAGUGAACAUUAUCAUCCUCGUCUUAACCAUAAGAUGUCCAAAAAUCAGAGAAGCCAUGUGCCCUAAAACACACUUUUCAUAAGUUACAGAGUCUUAAACCCAGGUUUCCGAUCUCAACAUUACCAGAGACAACAACAGAGAAGGUAAAUCCUACCUAAGUGAGAUAAGCAGAAAGAAAGCCGAAUGUUGCCCCUCGGAGUACAGCCUUGAGAGAGCUGCCAGGAUACAGAAAGGGGACAAGCGGAGAUGGUCAUACCCGCUAAUGCCAAUUCCAUUCCCGAGCGCCUAGAUGCAAUUUUUCCUAGGAAGGCACUCCAUGUGUCCGGAUGGCUGCACGUCUAGGAAAAGAUGUGUUGCACCCCGUGCCACCUCAUGCAGGGUCUGAGGCCAAGCUAGCCAGGUCUCAAGAUCUGAGGUGAGAGGGCUGGAGAUGGAAUCCUGCUCAGUCACUUAUAAAUGAUGUCACCUUGGGCACUGUACAUCUCCACAACUUCUCUGUAAACUGGGGACAAUGAUACGGCUUACUUCAUGGGGAUGUCAUGAGGAUUAAAUGAGUUCAUGCAUUUUUAAUUAAUGCUUAUGACAAUGAUAGGUACAUGGUCAUUGGGUAGGAAACAACAGCUGUUGUUAUUCCUUCAUGGUGCUGUUCCCCACUGUUUCAUCAUCGAGGCCAGCCAGCACCUUUGCAUCACUCAAAAGAAUGUUCCAAAGGCUUCCUAACAUCUAGUUAGGCCUGACUACCACCCCACCUUUUUCGGAAGCAUCCUCUUUCUAAACCCUUCCGAAAAUUUUCAUCUUAUCAUGGAUCUCACUUGCCUAAACACCCACAACAUCUCUAUCACCUGUGGGAUGCUGCCCAAACCGUAUCAUAUGACCCUCAAGACCUUUCCCCAUCCAACCCCAGCCUCCAUUCAAGCUACACUACCCCCCCACCCCCCAUGUUUUUGCACAUUCUACUUCCUUGACCCUUGAACACGGCCUAUGGAAAAUCAAGGAUGUGUGAUGUUCACCUAUCCAUGCAUCUGCACAGAACUAUGAAAACACUCUAGGUGAUUUUUUUUUACAUUCAUCUAAUUAAUUUCAUAAAAUAACUGAUGCUGAAUAAUGUCACAGUUAAGAGCCUGGGCUUUGGUAGCAGGCAGAUUAGAGUUUCAAUCUCAACUCUGACACUUAUUAGCUCUGUGACCUUGGACACAUUUAUUAACCUCUCUGAAGCUGUAUUUCUUCUUUGGUGAAAUGCAGCCAUUGUCUGUUUUACAGCAUAUUGUAAGAAUUAAAGGGGAUGAUAUAUUCAAAGUAUUUCUCACAGUGCUUGGUGCUCCCAAAAAUGGCAGCUGAAACUAAAAGCUUCCAGUGUACAUCAACAGUAAAAAGGCUCAUGGUGAUAAUUGGGCCACUUGUUGGGAGUCCUGGAGCCUACUUGCAUAUCCAACUAAGCCCCCUAAUGUGUAAGCCCCCGGCAAGAACCACAAGGCCUGCUCUGGAAAAGCCAGUGAGCAUAUGCUCUGAGACAGCUUUAAAUCAGCACAAAGCACGCAGCAACCCGCACAUAUUCCCCCGGCCCAUUCUCAACCAAGGAAAGCAGAGAAAACAAUGGUCACCAUCCUUCCCUACUCUCUUCACAGAAAUGAUUAUCAACUUGAGCAAAUAAAAGAGUGGUCAUUCUAGGUCUACUCCAUGGCCUGAGCAGAGCCUCUCCAGUGGCUCAGCAAUCAUGGCAAAUGAAGGGUAGAUCCCUGAUAUGACAAGUCUAGUCUUUGCCGGUGGCCUACUCUCAGCCUGACCUAGAGCAAAGAUCCAGCAGUGGUCACCAAAGAGGCUCCAGGUCACACUUAACAUCCUGUUCUUGAUGACCCACAGGCUUUGCUCCAUGGCCCAACAGUCUUCAGCUGACCAGAGCACAAAUGCAUAUUUGACUAAUUCCCAUGCCUGGUCGUGCAUUAACACACAUAACUCCAGCCUACUUAAGAGGGACCGACGUGUAGAUGUGCGGACAGGAAUGCAUGACAUCGUCACCUUCCUCCUGAGAGCUACAGGCUGAAAAGUGAUCCCUUUUUAUCAGGCAGCUUAAUAAAAUAAGAUGCUAACUUGACAAGGGUGUGUGAGUGCGUGCACACGCAUGCGUGUGCACCCACGUGCACGUGUGCCCGUGGAUGUGCAGGCGUGAAUGUGUGCAUGUGUGUAUGUCACAGAAAGAGCAAGAACGAGGAAGAGGUUCAUCUGCAUCCAAAAAUUCUUAAUUGAUUAUCUAACAUGGCAUGUUGGCUCAGGUAAUUUAGGAAAUUGAAAUUAUAUGUUUGUACAGAGAUAAUCUACUCUUAAAAAUAUCUGGCAUGGUAGGAGGAACACUGAUGAACGGUUUAAAAACUUGCUUCGUGCAGGCUUAAUAUGGGGCUAAUUCAGAAUUACAGUUGGAGAGUUAUGGGACUCAACAUAAAAUGUACCAGUUCACUGAGCACUGUAGCGAUCAAGAAAACACACAUAAAAAUUCCGAUAAGAAUGGAAUGUGAGGCAAAAGCACAAUUUCCUCCCAAUCUGGAAUAUCAGCAGGAUUUGCGCUUGUUGUUUGUGGUUUUCUGGGGUGGAUGGUACAUUACAGUGCAGCAUCAACACUAAUGCUACAUGGCAGCUCCUCGGAAUCCCAUCUGCUUCCCCGGGAACUGUUAAUAUAGUUGUAAUUAUCUACUUCUAAGCACUUUAUUGGGAAUAUCAUUUGCAAAUUAAUCAACUACAGACCGGUAAAACAAAUGACAUGCUCCCCCGAAAACAACAGCAUUCUUGCACAUUAUUUUUCUAAGGAUUUCGGGAAGCUGGAGUGGGCGGAGGGGGUUUUACGCCUUUUACAACCUUGCCCUGUGUAUAAAAGUUGAGUGGGAAGAGUUACAGAAGAGGGUUUUUCUAAAAGGCCUCCGGAGGAUUUUAGCAACAGAGAGGAGGAGGAGGAGAGCAUAAAAACCUAAGGGAUGGGUAGUAGUUCCACGUGAGAGGCGAGAGGGGGAAGGCGGGCCCCGAAUGACAGGUGCGCGGCGGUCAAGACCAAGGUCCCCGGGCUCCUCUGCAAGUGCUCCCUGGACGGGGGGCUGCUGCUCCUGGACCUCGCCCUCCAAGCCCUGCAGGCUGCCUGCGGUGCAUGCAGAGGCCCCGUCCCUGGGCCACAGAACAGGAAGCAAGAGCGCUAAGGGCAGUGGGUGCGAGCAACAGAAAAAUACUCCCAAAUUCACCUGCCGUAAUUGAAAUCCUCACCCCAAAGAAGGUAAAGUUUUGAAAGCAGAAAAGCCAAGCGAUCCCUGGGAGCAAAGAGGGGAAAAGGCAAACCAGCUACAGGACAGAAAUCACACCCGAGAGUCAGGUCCUCGGUGGUUACGCACGCAUCAGGUGCGCCGCCCCUCGCUCCCUGGGAGCGUGUACCUGAACGGCUCUGGACCCUGAGCCUCCCAGUCUGCGGUUUCACACCAAAGGUCCAGUGGGAAAAAAAGAACCCCAGUCAUUAGAGAGCUCUAAGUGCACCUUUUGAUGGCAGCAAAUCUGAGAGCUCAGGGCUAAGGAAAUACCCCCCUGGCUCUCCCCUCCCCAGACCACUGGCUCUAGGCCGGGGGAGACAGGGGGUCAGUCUCCCCAGGAUAUGUCCAGGCUGUAAGUAGACAAAUGCCUUCAGACCCACCAGCAUGUUGUCCGCUCAUAUGUCACGUGGCAACAGAGAGCUGCACACAGAGAGAACGGUUUGUGCACACUUGCGUGGAACGUGGAGAAUGCUAGGACCGGAUGGGCUUGGGAAGACCCAAGCUGAAUUUCACCAACAGAAGUAAUGCUUUGCUGGCCUGCGUGAAAUGACUGUUAGAACUCACUAGGGUCCUUCUCGAGAGAGGAAAAGCAAAGUGUUUGGAAUCAGACGAUGCUACUAGUGAAUCUUGCCUUUGCUAAUGACCAGUUGACCUCGCUGUACUUGAGUCCACUUUUUCAUCAACGGGGGUUUGAUACCCUCUGAUAGGGAUUUACAGGCAACUGGAAGACGAUGCUGCACUUAUUACAGACAGAAAAAGGAGACGUACAUAAACAAGUUUUCAAACAAACUUAGGUUUGGCAGGGAAGACAUGGGAGGGAAAAUGAGAUAAUGCCACGUGAAAGCCCAUGCUUCUCCUCCCUCCUGUAGCCUGUAGUGGGGAAGUAUCCACUUUGAAUUAAAACAAGAAACGUUUAGUGAGCACUUACUGUGCUAAGCAGAUUGAUUAUCAUACAUUGGGAUAUGUGGGUGAGAAUGUACUUUCCGUGAAAAAGGGCAAAGCCUAUGUCUUCGUCCUUGUAGCCCGUCUCAGGCUAGAAAUAAGGUGAGAGAAGCAUAUAUCCUAGACAUGGGGAUGGGUGCUGGGGAUGGGUGCAACUCAAUCAACUUUUUCCU
rnacentral:lncRNA from 1 species